AUUGAACGCUGGCGGCAGGCCUAACACAUGCAAGUCGAGCGCGAAAGGCCUUCGGGUUGAGUAGAGCGGCGGACGGGUGAGUAACGCGUAGGAAUCUACCUGGUAGUGGGGGAUAACUUGGGGAAACCCAAGCUAAUACCGCAUACGCCCUAAGGGGGAAAGCGGGGGAUCUUCGGACCUCGCGCUAUCGGAUGAGCCUGCGUAGGAUUAGCUUGUUGGUGAGGUAAAGGCUCACCAAGGCGACGAUCCUUAGCUGGUCUGAGA
rnacentral:rRNA from 1 species